UUGCAUUUCGAUUGUACGAUACUCGUCAGACUGGAUUCAUCGAACCGGAAGAGGUGAAACAGAUGAUAAUAGACGUUCUAGAAGAAUCAGAACUUAUGCUAUCCGAGAGUAUCAUUGACUCCAUCGUGUCAAAGACAUUUGAAGAGGCGGAUUGGAAAAAAGAUGGAAAAAUAGACUUGGAAGAAUGGGAGACUUUUGUGGCCGCCUAUCCUCUGACGCUCAAGAACAUGACCAUCCCUUUCUUGAAGGACAUACCAAGGAAUUUCCCAACCUUUUUCCGGUAAAUAAGAUUUAGCGUGUUCAACGCGUUAUAAAUUCUUUAAUUAAGAAAUAUUUUAAUUCAAUAAUCACAUAGGUUAUUUAGAAGAAAAAAAAAGGAAAAAAGAAGGUUAUAUCGUAUAAACAUGUUAAACUUAAAAAAAAAAAAACAAAAAAAGGUCAUUGGUUUUUUAACCACAAAACUAAAGAUGUGAUAUGGAAAGGUAAAAUCAGAGAUCGGGUCGUGAAGACAAAAGGAGUUUUGAAAAAAAGAAAAGAAAA